CAGUCGCCGCGGGAAUACGUAGGGUGCGAGCGUUAAUCGGAAUUACUGGGCGUAAAGCGUGCGCAGGCGGUUCGUUAAGACAGAUGUGAAAUCCCCGGGCUUAACCUGGGAACUGCAUUUGUGACUGGCGAGCUAGAGUAUGGCAGAGGGGGGUAGAAUUCCACGUGUAGCAGUGAAAUGCGUAGAGAUGUGGAGGAAUACCGAUGGCGAAGGCGGCUCACCGGCUCAUACUGGACGCUGAGGUGCGAAAGCGUGGGGAGCAAACAGGAUUAGAUACCCCAGUAGUCCCUGUCUCUUAUAU
rnacentral:rRNA from 1 species